CAGCCGCCGCGGUAAAACGAAGGGGGCUAGCGUUGUUCGGAUUUACCGGGCGUAAAGGGCGCGUAGGCGGGCGAAUAAGUCAGGGGUGAAAUCCCAAGGCUCAACCUUGGAACUGCCUUUGAUACUGUUUGUCUUGAGUUCGAGAGAGGUAAGUGGAACUGCGAGUGUAGAGGUGAAAUUCGUAGAUAUUCGCAAGAACACCAGUGGCGAAGGCGGCUUACUGGCUCGAAACUGACGCUGAGGCGCGAAAGCGUGGGGAGCAAACAGGAUUAGAUACCCCCGUAGUCCCUGUCUCUUAUAC
rnacentral:rRNA from 1 species